CCGUAGCCCAAGAGAUCGGGAUAACGACCUGGAAACAGAUGCUAAUACCGGAUAACAACAGAUGAUGCCUAUCAACUGUUUAAAAGAUGGUUCUGCUAUCACUCUUGGAUGGACCUGCGGUGCAUUAGCUAGUUGGUAGGGUAACGGCCUACCAAGGCGAUGAUGCAUAGCCGAGUUGAGAGACUGAUCGGCCACAUUGGGACUGAGACACGGCCCAAACUCCUACGGGAGGCAGCAGC
rnacentral:rRNA from 1 species